rnacentral:rRNA from 1 species
CGAAGUAGCUUGAGUUAAAUAUAAUUGUAAUAAUUGGUUGCUUUAGGUUUGGUGUGGCAAAACCAUAACCAAAAUUAUAUUUAGUAGUGAUAGGCCUCUCAAAAACUAAGAUAUCUUGAUUCCAAUUAAAUGUAUUUAGUACAAUUAGUAUAAUUAUUAAGUGGUAAGGCUUAGUAAAAAUAUUAAAAUAUAUUGUGCUUUUUUUUAGGUUAUAAUAAAUAAAAAAUGUAGUAUAAUAAUAAUAUUCUGCUCUAAAAGGUUAUAGUUAGUAUUUGGAUAUACUUAAAGCUCGUAUAUUUAUAAAUAAUGUUAAUAUUAGUAUAAUUACCAGAUUUAUAUAAGGAACUCGGCAAAUAUACUUCUUAACUGUUUACCAAAAACAUAACUAUGUGUAUUAAUACGUAGCGGUUUCUGCUCAAUGAUUUAUUAAAUAGCCGCAGUA